AUUUAUUUAUUUAUUUAUUUUUGACCAAUUUCAAUGACAUGGGUUGUUAGUAUUUUAAACUGUUCAUUUGCUCUAAAAUCUACACUUUUUUAAGAAAUACUGUUAUGAAAGCAAAAGCAUUAUCAUGGUUUUGUAAUUAUCACAGGAAUCAGGAAUGCUGACAUAUUAUAUUGAGAAACUUUACUGGUCAAUUGUUUAUUGAAACCACUGGUGUAUAUCAGUAAUGUUUGUUAUCAUCUGUUAACUGAUAACUAAGUUUUGAAAAAUCUUCUAUUUGUUAUCUGAAAUUUUUUGGCUUGGAAACUGUCAUUGUUUUGAAACAAACUCCAAAG
rnacentral:misc_RNA from 1 species